rnacentral:rRNA from 1 species
AUUCUGGUUGAUCCUGCCAGAGGUUACUGCUAUCGAGGUUCGACUAAGCCAUGCGAGUCGAAUGUAGCAAUACAUGGCGUACUGCUCAGUAA